GACGAACGCUGGCGGCGUGCUUAACACAUGCAAGUCGAACGGAAAGGCCCUGCUUUUGUGGGGUGCUCGAGCGGCGAACGGGUGAGUAACACGUGAGUAACCUGCCCUUGACUUUGGGAUAACUUCAGGAAACUGGGGCUAAUACCGGAUAGGAGCUCCUGCUGCAUGGUGGGGGUUGGAAAGUUUCGGCGGUUGGGGAUGGACUCGCGGCUUAUCAGCUUGUUGGUGGGGUAGUGGCUUACCAAGGCUUUGACGGGUAGCCGGCCUGAGAGGGUGACCGGCCACAUUGGGACUGAGAUACGGCCCAGACUCCUACGGGAGGCAGCAGUGGGGAAUAUUGCACAAUGGGCGGAAGCCUGAUGCAGCAACGCCGCGUGCGGGAUGACGGCCUUCGGGUUGUAAACCGCUUUCGCCUGUGACGAAGCGUGAGUGACGGUAAUGGGUAAAGAAGCACCGGCUAACUACGUGCCAGCAGCCGCGGUGAUACGUAGGGUGCGAGCGUUGUCCGGAUUUAUUGGGCGUAAAGGGCUCGUAGGUGGUUGAUCGCGUCGGAAGUGUAAUCUUGGGGCUUAACCCUGAGCGUGCUUUCGAUACGGGUUGACUUGAGGAAGGUAGGGGAGAAUGGAAUUCCUGGUGGAGCGGUGGAAUGCGCAGAUAUCAGGAGGAACACCAGUGGCGAAGGCGGUUCUCUGGGCCUUUCCUGACGCUGAGGAGCGAAAGCGUGGGGAGCGAACAGGCUUAGAUACCCUGGUAGUCCACGCUGUAAACGGUGGGUACUAGGUGUGGGGUCCAUUCCACGGGUUCCGUGUCGUAGCUAACGCUUUAAGUACCCCGCCUGGGGAGUACGGCCGCAAGGCUAAAACUCAAAGGAAUUGACGGGGCCCCGCACAAGCGGCGGAGCAUGCGGAUUAAUUCGAUGCAACGCGUAGAACCUUACCUGGGUUUGACAUGGAUCGGGAGUGCUCAGAGAUGGGUGUGCCUCUUUUGGGGUCGGUUCACAGGUGGUGCAUGGCUGUCGUCAGCUCGUGUCGUGAGAUGUUGGGUUAAGUCCCGCAACGAGCGCAACCCUUGUUCACUGUUGCCAGCACGUUAUGGUGGGGACUCAGUGGAGACCGCCGGGGUCAACUCGGAGGAAGGUGGGGAUGACGUCAAGUCAUCAUGCCCCUUAUGUCCAGGGCUUCACGCAUGCUACAAUGGCUGGUACAGAGAGUGGCGAGCCUGUGAGGGUGAGCGAAUCUCGGAAAGCCGGUCUCGGUUCGGAUUGGGGUCUGCAACUCGACCUCAUGAAGUCGGAGUCGCUAGUAAUCGCAGAUCAGCAACGCUGCGGUGAAUACGUUCCCGGG
rnacentral:rRNA from 1 species